rnacentral:rRNA from 1 species
CAGCGUAAUGAGCUUAUCGGAUUUUCAGAGAGGUGGUGCAUGGCCGUCGUCAGUUCGUACUGUAAAGCGUUCUGUUAAGUCAGAUAACGAACGAGACCCUCAUCUCUAUUUGCUACCCGUCUCUCCGGAGGCGGCGCACUAUAGGGAGACCGCUGGUGUUAAACCAGAGGAAGGCGAGGGCAACGACAGGUCAGUAUGCCCCGAAUGUCCUGGGCUACACGCGCGCUACAAAGGACGGGACAAUGGGAAGCCAGGCCGAGAGGCCGAGCUACCCCGAAACCCGUUCAUAGUUCGGAUCGUGGGCUGUAACUCGCCCACGUGAAGCUGGAUUCCGUAGUAAUCGUGUUUCAAUAUAGCACGGUGAAUAUGCCCCUGCUCCUUGCACACACCGCCCGUCAAACCAUCUUAGUUGGGGGUGGGUGAGGCUGCGCUUACUUCGGUAUGGCGUAUUCGAGCCUGCCUUCGACAAGGAGGGUUAAGUCGUAACAAGGUAUCUGUAGGGGAACCUGCAGAUG